UCCCCCCUCCGAAUGCACUGAAAUUGCAUAUUCAUUGUGGAAAUAGUUUAAAUCUCAUGUGGAGAAAGUUUGAAAAGGAUAGGACAAAGUUGAGUUCCCUUAAAGGUUACAUUACACUAAAUCAUUGUGUAUCCCUCCGUGGUCCAUUCGAAAGUAGUGCCUAUUUCUAAAGAGUUCCUUUUCUCUUCUUGAAUAUAAGCCAUUUAACAAUGUGAGACAUGUCUUUUGUGGUUAUUUGUAAUAUCCUGUAUGUGUCUGGAGUACUUUGAUGCCUUGGAUUGGAAGCUAACUUAAAAGAUGGACUUUUGAGGGUGUGUUUUCUAUUGUGUGGGGCUUUUGUCGAAAUUAGGAUUCCGAAACACGUUUUUCAACGGUGGGUUCAUUCGACAGCGAUUUACUUUCUUAGAAGUUGCGAGACGGUAUGUUUUUGAUUGCAAUUAUUGGAAGAGGACAGAUCCAUCUUUAAAAUGAUACCAGGUUCGGAAAAAUUGAUACGUCGAAAAGGCAAGAAAAAUGCUGUGAAAGUUGUCAGUUUUAUAAGGGGACCCUAUGGGAAUCGGAAUUAGUGUAAUAUAACCUUAAAAAAGCACAUUUACUGCAAUGUCAAGGUCACAUUGAUUCGUCUGCAAUCGAGACAAGUAGAACAUGAAUUUUAAUGAAUGUUUUGAUGAUUUGGGUGCUAAAAUAGAUGAGAGAUGUCAAUAUUUUGGUUCAAAUGGAUGUUUUAGGUGGUUUUGGACUGUUCCGGAUGGGAGGGGGACCUGGUAUGGACAAGUAAGGGUUACAUUUCCAACAAAUCUUGAAUGUAAAUAUUAUUAUGUCCAAAGAUUGAAGUUUCAGGUGGAGAGCAAGAUGAAAAAUAUGCCAAAUCACAUGAAUGCAACCCAUUUAUGCCAUUUUUCUCUUUGUUUGUAGGCCUGACCAUUUGUCCCUUUUGCCGCAGACGGUCAACAAUCCGCUAGCUGUCUUGCUCUGACUGGUGCACUGGACAUGAUUUCAAUGAGAGUCAUCAUACUGAUUGUUUAAUUCAAACAUGAAUUUCAGUUUGUUCGUUAGAGUACUAACUUAGCUGUGUAUUUACAGUGGACGUAGUGGUGCGUCGCAUGCGGUAGACUAGGUAUUUCCAUAUAUACACUAUGUUUACAGAAUUGCGGCCGGUGAAGCAACAUAGCUGAUGAGUAAAUAGCGCUAGUUCUUCAGACAAAUAACUUUAUUUUCAACCUAUAAAGCAUAUUUAGCUGUAGGUGGGGCCAUUUAGCUGUAAGAUCUGGCUUUGGUUCUGUUAAGCCCUUAGAGUAAUGAAUUUCAGAGUGAAGACCAUAGCGCCUUUUCCUAGUCGAGUAUCGGGCAGCUGUAUGUCUUUUCAGAAAUGCACAUGUCUUCUUUAGUAUGUCAUUGUGAUUGCUUUUAAGAUAGGCAAUAAACUCAUAACCUUUAGAAAAAGGAGCAUCUGUAAAUUCAGAUUUCACUAUUUCAGAGUCAGCCAGACCAUGAUUGAGCUUAAGGAUUGUGCUGCGGAUGCGGCCUGUGCAGUUCCGGGAGAAAGUCACUGUCUUGGGCAUUGCGGUCUGGUAUCAGGUCUGGAUGAUCCUUGCCUGACUCCGGGUUUGCGUACACCUCAAUCCGACUCCCUGUCCGGUACCAUGGCCGCAGUGGUGCAGCCCUUGUGGACGAUCCAUCGACAUCCUGAAAGGUCAACACUUCACCAAGCUGGGAAAAUUGAUCCUGAUAGUCAUCCCCAGGUAGUGAAAUGAAUGUACACUGAACUACAGAGGAAUCACACCCAAAUGACUUUUCUGACAUUAGUGUGGCCCCUCGGGCAGGAACUCCUUAGCAAACAUGCUUUUUUGCAUGGGGACUGUGGCAUUUUUGCAAAACUUAAGCUUUCAACGCUGGAUUUUAAAGAGAACACUUAAUAAAAUGAAGCCAACAGGACUUAUUUUAAUGAGAGAGACUAUCUGGAUGAGCAACAAAUGUCACAUUGUGUCGUAAGCUGUUGAAGGAGCGAUUUGCGCCAUUUCAAGUGUUAAUUUUGGGUAGCAGGCUUGUAUCGGCUUGAAAGCUGCAAAUUAUUCCUCUCAUCAUGAUAGCAUUAAUUAUUUUAAUUGCAAUGUGUAUGUUUAGAUUGUAAGUGAAGCUUUUAAUAAUAAUUUUCUUGAAAAACAUGAUUUUAUAUGCUGUCAGUGAGUUUUUUUGUGUGAAAAAAGUGCUUAAAAUAAAAAAAAAGUCUCCUUUUUCAUCAAGAAAAGUACACUGAUUCACAAUCAAUACAUUUAUUUGGGCCUUUUGCUGAUAUAUUGGUGAAUUUCGCAUGCAAUGAUCCCAGUUUUUGCCAUAAAAGUUACGCGUAACAAUAAUUAGAGACACAAAAUCAGCUGUCGUCACUUAGACUAAAAAUCAUGCAUUCCGACUUGACUGCGGCCAAUUUAGUCACCGCUUUAAACGGCCAUUUUAAGGCCUUUUCCCCCCUCCGAAUGCACUGAAAUUGCAUAUUCAUUGUGGAAAUAGUUUAAAUCUCAUGUGGAGAAAGUUUGAAAAGGAUAGGACAAAGUUGAGUUCCCUUAAAAAAGCACAUUUACUGCAAUGUCAAGGUCACAUUGAUUCGUCUGCAAUCGAGACAAGUAGAACAUGAAUUUUAAUGAAUGUUUUGAUGAUUUGGGUGCUAAAAUAGAUGAGAGAUGUCAAUAUUUUGGUUCAAAUGGAUGUUUUAGGUGGUUUUGGACUGUUCCGGAUGGGAGGGGGACCUGGUAUGGACAAGUAAGGGUUACAUUUCCAACAAAUCUUGAAUGUAAAUAUUAUUAUGUCCAAAGAUUGAAGUUUCAGGUGGAGAGCAAGAUGAAAAAUAUGCCAAAUCACAUGAAUGCAACCCAUUUAUGCCAUUUUUCUCUUUGUUUGUAGGCCUGACCAUUUGUCCCUUUUGCCGCAGACGGUCAACAAUCCGCUAGCUGUCUUGCUCUGACUGGUGCACUGGACAUGAUUUCAAUGAGAGUCAUCAUACUGAUUGUUUAAUUCAAACAUGAAUUUCAGUUUGUUCGUUAGAGUACUAACUUAGCUGUGUAUUUACAGUGGACGUAGUGGUGCGUCGCAUGCGGUAGACUAGGUAUUUCCAUAUAUACACUAUGUUUACAGAAUUGCGGCCGGUGAAGCAACAUAGCUGAUGAGUAAAUAGCGCUAGUUCUUCAGACAAAUAACUUUAUUUUCAACCUAUAAAGCAUAUUUAGCUGUAGGUGGGGCCAUUUAGCUGUAAGAUCUGGCUUUGGUUCUGUUAAGCCCUUAGAGUAAUGAAUUUCAGAGUGAAGACCAUAGCGCCUUUUCCUAGUCGAGUAUCGGGCAGCUGUAUGUCUUUUCAGAAAUGCACAUGUCUUCUUUAGUAUGUCAUUGUGAUUGCUUUUAAGAUAGGCAAUAAACUCAUAACCUUUAGAAAAAGGAGCAUCUGUAAAUUCAGAUUUCACUAUUUCAGAGUCAGCCAGACCAUGAUUGAGCUUAAGGAUUGUGCUGCGGAUGCGGCCUGUGCAGUUCCGGGAGAAAGUCACUGUCUUGGGCAUUGCGGUCUGGUAUCAGGUCUGGAUGAUCCUUGCCUGACUCCGGGUUUGUGUACACCUCAAUCCGACUCCCUGUCCGGUACCAUGGCCGCAGUGGUGCAGCCCUUGUGGACGAUCCAUCGACAUCCUGAAAGGUCAACACUUCACCAAGCUGGGAAAAUUGAUCCUGAUAGUCAUCCCCAGAGUCAGCCAGACCAUGAUUGAGCUUAAGGAUUGUGCUGCGGAUGCGGCCUGUGCAGUUCCGGGAGAAAGUCACUGUCUUGGGCAUUGCGGUCUGGUAUCAGGUCUGGAUGAUCCUUGCCUGACUCCGGGUUUGUGUACACCUCAAUCCGACUCCCUGUCCGGUACCAUGGCCGCAGUGGUGCAGCCCUUGUGGACGAUCCAUCGACAUCCUGAAAGGUCAACACUUCACCAAGCUGGGAAAAUUGAUCCUGAUAGUCAUCCCCAGGUAGUGAAAUGAAUGUACACUGAACUACAGAGGAAUCACACCCAAAUGACUUUUCUGACAUUAGUGUGGCCCCUCGGGCAGGAACUCCUUAGCAAACAUGCUUUUUUGCAUGGGGACUGUGGCAUUUUUGCAAAACUUAAGCUUUCAACGCUGGAUUUUAAAGAGAACACUUAAUAAAAUGAAGCCAACAGGACUUAUUUUAAUGAGAGAGACUAUCUGGAUGAGCAACAAAUGUCACAUUGUGUCGUAAGCUGUUGAAGGAGCGAUUUGCGCCAUUUCAAGUGUUAAUUUUGGGUAGCAGGCUUGUAUCGGCUUGAAAGCUGCAAAUUAUUCCUCUCAUCAUGAUAGCAUUAAUUAUUUUAAUUGCAAUGUGUAUGUUUAGAUUGUAAGUGAAGCUUUUAAUAAUAAUUUUCUUGAAAAACAUGAUUUUAUAUGCUGUCAGUGAGUUUUUUUGUGUGAAAAAAGUGCUUAAAAUAAAAAAAAAGUCUCCUUUUUCAUCAAGAAAAGUACACUGAUUCACAAACAAUACAUUUAUUUGGGCCUUUUGCUGAUAUAUUGGUGAAUUUCGCAUGCAAUGAUCCCAGUUUUUGCCAUAAAAGUUACGCGUAACAAUAAUUAGAGACACAAAAUCAGCUGUCGUCACUUAGACUAAAAAUCAUGCAUUCCGACUUGACUGCGGCCAAUUUAGUCACCGCUUUAAACGGCCAUUUUAAGGCCUUUUCCCCCCUCCGAAUGCACUGAAAUUGCAUAUUCAUUGUGGAAAUAGUUUAAAUCUCAUGUGGAGAAAGUUUGAAAAGGAUAGGACAAAGUUGAGUUCCCUUAAAGGUUACAUUACACUAAAUCAUUGUGUAUCCCUCCGUGGUCCAUUCGAAAGUAGUGCCUAUUUCUAAAGAGUUCCUUUUCUCUUCUUGAAUAUAAGCCAUUUAACAAUGUGA